CUCUUCAAUGUAUUAGGUCUAACCAACUCGUUGAAACAGUUAGCGGUAGUAUCUGUGUAAAAGAGGCUCGGCCUUACAACAAUCUACAAAGUUUGACCUCAAAUCAGGUAGGAAUACCCGCUGAACUUAAGCAUAUCAAUAAGCGGAGGAAAAGAACAACAGGGAUUGCCUUAGUAACGGCGAGUGAAGCGGCAAAAGCUCAAAUUUGAAAUCUGGCGUCUUCGGCGUCCGAGUUGUAAUUUGAAGAAGGCUACUUUGGGGCUGGAGUUUGUCUAAGUUCCUUGGAACAGGACGUCACAGAGGGUGAGAAUCCCGUGAGAUAAGCUUCCCAGUUCUAUGUAAAGUGCUUUCGAAGAGUCGAGUUGUUUGGGAAUGCAGCUCUAAGUGGGUGGUAAAUUCCAUCUAAAGCUAAAUAUUGGCGAGAGACCGAUAGCGAACAAGUACAGUGAUGGAAAGAUGAAAAGAACUUUGAAAAGAGAGUGAAAAAGUACGUGAAAUUGUUGAAAGGGAAGGGCUUGAGAUCAGACAUGGUAUUUUGCAAACCUUCUCUCUCGUGGAGGGGGCCCCUUGCAGUUUACUGGGCCAGCAUCAGUUUGGGCGGUAGGAUAAUGACUAAGGAAUGUGACUUGCCUUCGGGGAAGUGUUAUAGCCUUGGUUGAUACUGCCAGCCUAGACUGAGGACCGCGUCUUUGACAAGGAUGUUGGCAUAAUGAUCUUAAGCCACCCGUCUUGAAACACGGACCAAGGAGUCUAACGUCUAUGCGAGUGUUUGGGUGUAAAACCCGUACGCGUAAUGAAAGUGAACGUAGGUGAGAGCUCCUAGAGAGUG
rnacentral:rRNA from 1 species